UCCCUAUGGGGUGCAGCAGGCGCGAAACCUCUGCAAUAGGCGAAAGCCUGACAGGGUUACUCUGAGUGAUCUCCGUUAAGGAGAUCUUUUGGCACCUCUAAAAAUGGUGCAGAAUAAGGGGUGGGCAAGUCUGGUGUCAGCCGCCGCGGUAAUACCAGCACCCCGAGUGGUCGGGACGAUUAUUGGGCCUAAAGCAUCCGUAGCCGGUCUUGCAAGUCUUCCGUUAAAUCCACCUGCUUAACAGAUGGGCUGCGGAGGAUACUAUAAGGCUAGGAGGCGGGAGAGGUAAGAGGUACUACAGGGGUAGGAGUGAAAUCUUGUAAUCCUUGUGGGACCACCAGUGGCGAAGGCGUCUUACCAGAACGGGUCCGACGGUGAGGGACGAAAGCUGGGGGCACGAACCGGAUUAGAUACCCGGGUAGUCCCAGCUGUAAACGAUGCAGGCUAGGUGUUUGGGCGGCCACGUGCUGCUCCUGUGCCGCAGAGAAAUUGUUAAGCCUGCCGCCUGGGGAGUACGGCCGCAAGGCUGAAACUUAAAGGAAUUGGCGGGGGAGCACCACAAGGGGUGAAGCUUGCGGUUUAAUUGGAUUCAACGCCGGAA
rnacentral:rRNA from 1 species